GGCAACCCUGACGGAGCAACGCCGCGUGGGGGAGGAGUGUCUGUGGAUUGUAAACCCCUUUUCUCAGGGAAGAAGCUCUGACGGUACCUGAGGAAUCAGCAUCGGCUAACUCCGUGCCAGCAGCCGCGGUAAGACGGAGGAUGCAAGCGUUAUCCGGAAUUAUUGGGCGUAAAGCGUCCGUAGGCGGUUUAUCAAGUCUGCCGUUAAAGACUGCAGCUCAACUGUGGGUAAGCGAUGGAAACUGUAGAACUGGAGUACGGUAGGGGUAGAGGGAAUUCCCAGUGUAGCGGUGAAAUGCGUAGAUAUUGGGAAGAACACCAGUGGCGAAAGCGCUCGACUGGGCCUGCACUGACACUGAGGGACGAAAGCUAGGGGAGCG
rnacentral:rRNA from 1 species